GAUGAACGCUGGCGGCGUGCCUAAUACAUGCAAGUCGAGCGAACGGACGAGAAGCUUGCUUCUCUGAUGUUAGCGGCGGACGGGUGAGUAACACGUGGAUAACCUACCUAUAAGACUGGGAUAACUUCGGGAAACCGUAGCUAAUACCGGAUAAUAUUUUGAACCGCAUGGUUCAAAAGUGAAAGACGGUCCUGCUGUCACUUAUAGAUGGAUCCGCGCUGCAUUAGCUAGUUGGUAAGGUAACGGCUUACCAAGGCAACGAUGCAUAGCCGACCUGAGAGGGUGAUCGGCCACACUGGAACUGAGACACGGUCCAGACUCCUACGGGAGGCAGCAGUAGGGAAUCUUCCGCAAUGGGCGAAAGCCUGACGGAGCAACGCCGCGUGAGUGAUGAAGGUCUUCGGAUCGUAAAACUCUGUUAUUAGGGAAGAACAUAUGAGUAAGUAACUGUGCACAUCUUGACGGUACCUAAUCAGAAAGCCACGGCUAACUACGUG
rnacentral:rRNA from 1 species